CCGUUUCGAUUUGCUGCGGACAAAUAAAGUGAAUAUGGGCAUCAAUUCCUCCUGCGGUGACUAUCUUCCCCUCCGCUGCAAUAACUUCUGUUGCCGCUCCGAUGAUGAUAUUGACCCCAUCCAUUAACAACGGAUUGCCCGCUUUCCCGAUCGCAGCAAUCUUGCCAUCUUUAAUCCCAAUAUCUGCUUUAUAGAUUCCGGUGUAGUCCACAAUCAUCGCAUUUGUCAGUACUAAAUCCAUCGAUUCAGAACGUGUAGCCAGCGGGUGCUGCCCCAUUCCAUCGCGA
rnacentral:sRNA from 1 species